rnacentral:sRNA from 1 species
AAAUUGCUACUUCCCUGGGGCUCCAGGUCCCGCUUGUGCUCAGCUCCAGCUCACCGGCUGGCCACCGAGACCUCUGGACAGGGAACUGCACCAUCCUCUUCUCCCAGCAAGGGGGCUCCAGAGACUGCCCACCCAGGAAGUCUGGUGGCCUGGGGAUUUGGACAGUGCCUUGGUAAUGACCAGGGCUCCAGGAAGAGAUGUCCUUGUGGCUGGGGGCCCCUGUGCCUGACAUUCCUCCUGACUCUGCGGUGGAGCUGUGGAAGCCAGGCGCACAGGAUGCAAGCAGCCAGGCCCAGGGAGGCAGCAGCUGCAUCCUCAGAGAGGAAGCCAGGAUGCCCCACUCUGCCGGGGGUACUGCAGGGGUGGGGCUGGAGGCUGCAGAGCCCACAGCCCUGCUCACCAGGGCAGAGCCCCCUUCAGAACCCACAGGUGUCCUGUCAGAAGAACAGAUCCGCCUGAAGAAACUGAAGCGGCAAGAGGAGGAACAGGCUCAUGCCACAUCCCUGCCCCCCAGGGCUUCCUCACCCCCCCAAAUCCUGCCCCAGCUCAGCCCGGAGCAACUGGGCAUGAUCGAGAAGCUGGUUGCUGCCCAGCAACAGUGUAACCAGCG